UUUCUUACUGAGGCAUUUUGAAGAAAACAGCUUUUUGGAGGUGUCAGAGUAAAGAAUUGGGAGCUGUUCUUUAAUGGGAAAAGGUGUUUGCAAGCAAGUGGAAAAGCGCUAUUUCUACAUCCAAGGAGGACACGCUGCUAUUAUUUACCAGACAACAUGGAUUUAGCUAAGCUUCGUGGAAUUUUGCAGUCACUGACACACGUAUCAGAUACGGGCAGAGCAAGGAUGGAAAUAAUGUGAAGGCAAACUGUUCAGUUCAAGCCAAAAAGACUAAUGGAAGUAGUAAAAAUAGUAAAGAUAUGAAAGCAAGAACUACUGAAAUAAAUAUCUGAGAUGGGAACUUGCAGGAAAGGUUCACUGCAGCUGCAGACGCGCCUAGCUGAGUGUCAGCCUGGGUUAAUUUGCAAGGUGACAGACGUCUUGGGAACGGGCAAGUGCUGAAGAAAUGAGCUGGUGUCCCUGGGCCAGGUCUGCUCAUGGAGCUGAGCCACUCUCAGGUGUCCUUGGAGCAUCACUGAUUUACUGCAGCUGUGGCUUUGGCACUUGCCUUUAAAGAUGAUUAUGCAAUCCUACACCUUUUUAAUCUUUGGAAAUGCAAAAAGCCUCAACGCCCUCCUGGCAGCACAUAUACAAUUUUGAUUGACUGACCCUAUACCGCUUGAUCUGCUUCAUCCAGUUCAGCUGGUCUUGUCUCACCUCUGGCUCUUCCUUUGAGCCCAAUUUUCCCUUGAUUGGCUGUAACCACCUCUUGCUGGCCUUCUUGGUGCUCCUGCCAGCCACCAUGCCCAGGUGUCUCUGGUUCCCCCAGCUCCUCCUCCACCAGGACUGCUCCUAAAUACCCACCCAGGCUACCCUGAGAUGUGAUUUCACUGUCUCCUUGCUGUGACUGGCGGAACCUCAAGGAUGUCCCCAACUGUUGUAGCAUCCCCCACGCAAGGACAGAGCAGCAAAGUGGUCCCCACACCCUAAACUUGACUCUGAGUUUGCAGGAGUUUUCCAGCCCUGCUUCACUUCAGGUUGGAGCUCGCCCAGUGCUUGUGCAAAGCAGCGAUCACAAAGCCAAAGUCUGGGGAAGCUGUGGGUUGGGUGCGCGGAGGCACUUUGAGCUCUCGUGCAGCAGGGAUGUCCGAGAGGCACUGCAUCUCACCGCUCUGCCCCGGGAGAGCAGCCAGGGCAAACUGCUCCUUUCGUACCUCUGCACUGUCACAUCGGAAAGAAAAUUGGAAGUGACAGUUAUUGCCGUUUCCCAUCCUUGCUCACCAGGGCUUGGCAGGGAGACGGCGCUCGCUGUUACAGCCAAGCCUGCCAUCUCCUGACCCAGCAGCUUUGGUGGGAAAACUCGGAGGGAAGGAUGUUGGAUCCUGCUUCACUAAUUUUCCGUUAAUAAAGUUUCUUGCUUUUGUUUUUGUGUCUAA